rnacentral:rRNA from 1 species
UACGUAGGGGGCCAGCGUUGCUCGGAAUUACUGGGCGUAAAGGGUUCGUAGGUGGUGCGGCAAGUUGGGAGUGAAAUCUCUGGGCUUAACUCAGAGGCUGCUUUCAAAACUGCCGCGCUCGAGUGCGAGAGAGGUCAGUGGAAUUGCAGGUGUAGCGGUGAAAUGCGUAGAUAUCGGGAGGAACACCAAUUGCGAAGGCAGCUCGCUGGGACGUCACUGACGCUGAGACGCGAAAGCGUGGGGAGCAAACAGG